CACGUAGGCACCAAGCGUUGUCCGGAUUUAUUGGGCGUAAAGAGCUCGUAGGCGGCUUGGCAAGUCGGGUGUGAAACCUCCAGGCUCAACCUGGAGACGCCACUCGAUACUGCUAUGGCUAGAGUCCGGUAGGGGACCACGGAAUUCCUGGUGUGGCGGUGAAAUGCGCAGAUAUCAGGAGGAACACCGGUGGCGAAGGCGGUGGUCUGGGCCGGCACUGACGCUGACAGCGCGAAAGCGUGGGGAGCGAACAGG
rnacentral:rRNA from 1 species